rnacentral:rRNA from 1 species
AUUGAACGCUGGCGGCAUGCCUUACACAUGCAAGUCGAACGGCAGCACGGGAGCAAUCCUGGUGGCGAGUGGCGAACGGGUGAGUAAAGCAUCGGAACGUGCCCAGUCGUGGGGGAUAACGUAGCGAAAGCUACGCUAAUACAGCAUACGAUCUGUGGAUGAAAGCGGGGGACCGUAAGGCCUCGCGCGAUUGGAGCGGCCGAUGUCAGAUUAGGUAGUUGGUGGGGUAAAGGCUCACCAAGCCGACGAUCUGUAGCUGGUCUGAGAGGACGACCAGCCACACUUGGACUGAGACACGGCCCAGACUCCUACGGGAGGCAGCAGUGGGGAAUUUUGGACAAUGGGCGCAAGCCUGAUCCAGCAAUGCCGCGUGCAGGAUGAAGGCCUUCGGGUUGUAAACUGCUUUUGUACGGAGCGAAAAGGCUUCCACUAAUACUGGGGGCUCAUGACGGUACCGUAAGAAUAAGCACCGGCUAACUACGUGCCAGCCGCCGCGGUAAAAC